UCCCUGGUGGCUCAGAUGGUAAAGAAUCUGCCUGCAGUGUAGGAGACUCAGGUUCGAUCCCUGGGUGGGGAA
rnacentral:tRNA from 1 species